rnacentral:guide_RNA from 1 species
ACGCAACCAGAAUAGAUCAUAGAAAGAGAGUAAAGGUAUAUA